rnacentral:rRNA from 1 species
AAUUGUAGUCUUACUCGAUAAAAAAAAACGAAUAUUCAUUAAUGAAAAAUAAUUUAAAGGAAAAAAAGAGAGUAAAUUUUGUUGAAAUUAGAAAGAAGGGUGAUAGGAAAAUAGUAUCGUAAGAGAAAGGGAAAAAAACAAAAGUUUAAAAAAGCAGGAUUUAAGGUCUGUACCUUGGGUAUCAGGGAAAAUCAAUAUUAUCUAAAAAAAUUAGAAAUCCCGAAACAGAGACAGCUAGUUUUGAAAAAUAGUUCUCGUAGCAAAGAGAUUAAAAAUUCAAUACUAAAGAUGAAAUGUCAGUACGAGCUCUAAAUAUCUGGUUUUUUGAGAAAGAAUCUAAUUCUGUUUCUGUAGAGAAAGAGUCAGUAGAAGCAAGGGACAGGAGGGUAGAGCUUUUUGUCCUAUAAAUUAUAUAAUAUGAAAUUAUAAGUUUUUUAGAAAUUUAACUGGGCUUAAGAGUAGCUAUGUAGAUAAAGUGUUUUAACUAAAAAUAAAUAGAAAAAAAUUUAUGUGAUUCUAAAUUAUUAUCAAAAUUUUAAUAGUAAUGAAAAAUAUAAAGAAACAAUGAUUUUAUAAGUAUAAGUAUAUUAUAGGUGAAAAUAAAUAAAAUAAGGGACAAAAUAUAAAAGAAUAAUGAUGCAUUAAAGGAACUCGGCAAAGGAAUUUUUUGCCUGUUUAUCAAAAACAUGUCUGUUUGGAGUUGUAAAGAGUCUAGCCUGCCCACUGACAUUAGUUAAAGGGCCGCGGUAUUCUGACCGUGCAAAGGUAGCAUAAUCAUUAGUCUCUUAAUUGGAGGCUUGUAUGAAUGGUUGGACAAAAAAGUGUCUGUCUCUAUAGUAAAAUUAAAAUUUGAUUUUUGAGUGAAAAAGCUCAAAUAAGUCAAGAAGACGAUAAGACCCUAUAAAGCUUUAUACUAAAAUUGAAUUGAAAUUAAUUUAUAGAUUAAGUAAUAUCAGUUAAAUGAAGUAUUAUGUUGGGGCGACAAAGGUAUAAAUUGUAUAACUGCUUACAAAAGAAACAUUUAUAUAUGAGUAAAAGUAAAAGAUCCCUUUUAAGGAUUAGAAGAUUAAGUUACUUUAGGGAUAACAGCGUUAUUUCUUUUGAGAGUUCAUAUCGAAAAAGAAGUUUGCGACCUCGAUGUUGAAUUAAAAUAUCAAUAUAGUGCAGCAGCUAUAUAUGAGGGUCUGUUCGACCUUUAAAUUUUUACAUGAUUUGAGUUCAGACCGGUGUAAACCAGGUUGGUUUCUAUCUCUUGAGCGGGGAAAAAGAUAACYUAGUACGAAAGGAUUGGUUACUAGAAAUUUCUAAGUGAAGAUUAAUAGUAC